rnacentral:rRNA from 1 species
UUCUGGCUCAGGAUGAACGCUAGCUACAGGCUUAACACAUGCAAGUCGAGGGGCAGCAUUGGAGUAGCAAUACUUCAGAUGGCGACCGGCGCACGGGUGAGUAACACGUAUCCAACCUGCCGCUUACUCGGGGAUAGCCUUUCGAAAGAAAGAUUAAUACCCGAUGGUAUAAAGAGUUCGCAUGUUCUCUUUAUUAAAGAAUUUCGGUAAGCGAUGGGGAUGCGUUCCAUUAGAUAGUUGGCGGGGUAACGGCCCACCAAGUCUACGAUGGAUAGGGGUUCUGAGAGGAAGGUCCCCCACAUUGGAACUGAGACACGGUCCAAACUCCUACGGGAGGCAGCAGUGAGGAAUAUUGGUCAAUGGACGAGAGUCUGAACCAGCCAAAAGUAGCGUGAAGGAUGACUGCCCUAUGGGUUGUAAACUUCUUUUAUAAGGGAAUAAAGUGAGGGACGUGUCCCUUUUUGUAUGUACCUUAUGAAUAAGGAUCGGCUAACUCCGUGCCAGCCGCCGC